rnacentral:lncRNA from 1 species
AUCCUCCAUCCAUCAGUAGCGGCUACUCCCAAAAAGAAACGUCAGCUCUCUACCCCUUACGCGACCAUCACACCCAUCUUGGUGCGUCGGGCGGUGAUGGCGACAACAUCCCCUUAAACACUCCAUCUCGGCGAACAUGAACUAACAGAAACUCCUGAAUGAUAGGGCCCUUAGCUAGGCCCACAUUGUACAUGUCUAGCACUCGCACUCGCACAAAUGUCAGUCUAGGGAGGGUGACGCAGUCAAUCUCCGUACACUCUACCUCUACAUUCGAUGGGAGGCCAUAGAAGGUG